CCUCACCACCCCCUGGGUGUAUCGUAAUUCAUAUUCUCCAAUGGGACACCUCCAUAGCCAAGAGGCAUCAAUCAUGCUCUCCAGUUAGAAUUUUGCCUGGCAGAAACUUCGGUCGCCUAGUUACUAUCUUUGAAAACAUUUGUGGAAUGCACUUUCGGUUUUGCAAGCUGCUGCACUGCUCGCCCCUCCCUUUCUGUUGGCAACUCUAAAAAGACCAUAGAAAUAUUGACAAAGAAGACUGCUAUCGUGUCACCCCUAGUCUUUCUUUUCACAUAAGACUUUGGUUGGUUCUUUGUGGGUCCUUUGAGCAGGGAAGAUAGGAUUUGGGACACACAGUAACAUUUUGGGCAGAGCCAAGUAGCUGGCAGUCCCUGGGAACUCAAAAUACAGGCUUUUCAUUCUUGUAUAUAUAACAGUGAAUGGCUGUCUUGUUGUUCACAUCUCUUUCCCCCCCACCCAAUUACAAUAAUACUUUAUUUAUAGGAGACCCUUGUCUUUCUCCACCUAUGCCUUCCCCGAACGGACGAAGGAGCUGAGGCCUGGGGCAAACUUUUUAAUACCUUUCUGUUUGCUUCUGCUUAUAGCCCAAGCUGACUCCGCAGGAGAAACUCAAGCUCCGAAUGCAGAGGGCGCUUAACCGGCAAUGUAAGCACCUUCGGGGUGGGCGCAGGGCAGCGGCUGGGACCGAUCUGGUCCAGGGGACUCCUCUCCCUUUCCCUCUUUUCUCCUCCCCCCACCCUACCCCCCCAAAACUCACUGUUCUGCUCUGCCUCUUCAGUUAAAGCAGACAAGAAAGCAGCCCAGGAGAAGAUGAUGCAACAGGAACACGAAAGACAGGAACGAGAGGAUGAGUUGCGUGCCAUGGCUCGGAAGAUCCGGAUGAAGGAGCGGGAACGGCGGGAGAAGGAGCGGGAAGAGUGGGAGCGACAGUACAGCCGCCACAGCCGCUCGCCUUCUCCGCGCUACAGUAAGUGCUACCUGAAGGACAAAAUGUUUGAAAUGGUGUGGUGCCAGACUCAAGUG
rnacentral:lncRNA from 1 species